GUAAACCAGAGAUAAUCUACAAUUCCCCGUGUCUAAUCGUGCUUCCUGGCCACCUGAACGCCAUCACCUCGUGGAGAAGAUGGCCCUCCAUCUUCUCGGCUCGCCCCGUGCCGGCUGCCUUCACAGCUGGCUGCUGAGUCCCGAGACCAGAGUUUUCCCCGAGCUAAAAGCUGCACACCAGCUCGUUUGAUUAGGAAAGCGGUUCUGAAUUUCCGCACGGAAAGGAGGCGGGGAAAGCUAAAGCCAUUUGCACGCUUUCUGCCCGCUCUGCACUUUGGGCUGUCCGGUGGGUUUGCAGCCGUGCACGCGCCAAAGGGCUGACGGCUGAGGAUGAGCUCAGUCUGCCUUCCCACCAGAGCCGCGAUGGAGAACCGGCGUCUCUGCCUUUGCCAGAGCUCUCGCCGAGCAGCGGAGGUGGCAGGACGGAGCCCAGAGACGUUUCCUCCAAGCGAUGAUGUGGUACCGUGGGCUGAAGCUGCGCUCGCUGGACCAGACCUCCUCUGCUGGGUAAAGGCUGAUUGCGGACCACAACAGGCUGGAUGUGAAAUACAGGCUUAAACCCGAAAUAAACCUGUUUGUGAAGUUGGAUCCAGAGUAAUAGCAGCUUCGGUGGCUGGUUUGCUGUUGAUUUAAAACUUCAGCGAGCCCUGCUAAUUGCAGCCUUGCUCCUCUUAAGUUUCUCCAGCCUUUGCAGUGAAGCUCGACCUCAUUCGCCCUUUCCAGGCUUCAAGGUUUGGGUGCUGUUACCUGACAUUUCUGCUGCUAAAAGGACUCCGGAGGCUGGGAGUUUGGGACCACGCUUCUAACCACUGUGAAUAUUGUGCAUGUGUCUUAUCCCUUCCAUAAAAGAAUCAAGCUGGUGGUCAGGCCCUGAAAUGCUUGUGUAUUUAUUAAAAAAAAAAAUAAAAAGCUGCAGCAAAUAGGGGUUGAUGCCUCAGGAGCUGGGAGAAAAAGAGGGAAGAUGUGUGCGUACAUGUGGUGAAAGGAUAUACCGGUUGGUAGCGUAUCCCUGUGGUUAUUGUGUUUGCUUCUCGGUUAUCGUAUGAGGCCUAAAUGAGGGUGUCAAUAAAAUAAUCUAUG